AAUAAAAAUGGGUUUCGGCCUAUCUGAAUGUACCUCUAAAGGAAGCACCGGCAAACUUCGUGCCAGCAGCCGCGGUAAUACGAGGGGUGCAAGCGUUGUUCGGAAUCACUGGGCGUAAAGGGAGCGUAGGUGGAAUUGCAAGUUAACCGUGCAAUCCCGGGGCCCAACCCCGGACUCGCGGUUAAGACUGUGGUUCUUGAGUUGUUCAGAGGUAGACGGAAUUCCUGGUGUAGCGGUGGAAUGCGUAGAGAUCAGGAAGAACACCGAUGGCGAAGGCAGUCUACUGGGGACCAACUGACACUGAGGCUCGAAAGCGUGGGUAGCAAACAGGAUUAGAUACCCUGGUAGUCCACGCUGUAAACGAUGCAUACUGGGUGUCUGGAAGCAAUUCCGGGUACCGUAGCCAACGCGUUAAGUAUGCCGCCUGGGGAGUACGCUCGCAAGAGUGAAACUCAAAGGAAUUGACGGG
rnacentral:rRNA from 1 species